UUCUUAUUGGAUAAUAACUGUCACAUGUUAUAUUUUGAUUAAUCAAUGAAAACAAGCAUGUCAUCUUUUAUGGAAUUAACAUUCAAUACAUGUAUUAAUUAUUAUCCAAUAAAAAUGUGACACGUAAUCGUCAAUGUCA
rfam:Glycine soja cultivar W05 scaffold1570_55, whole genome shotgun sequence.